AGAAAAAAAGUGUUUUUACUUUAAAUUUGUGCAAAGAUGAGUAUGUGUAUUUUGUACAAUAUUUGCAGCUGCUUUUUAUGACUUAAU